rnacentral:rRNA from 1 species
AUUGAACGCUGGCGGCAUGCUUUACACAUGCAAGUCGAACGGCAGCGCGGGCUUCGGCCUGGCGGCGAGUGGCGAACGGGUGAGUAAUACAUCGGAACGUGCCCAGUAGUGGGGGAUAGCUCGGCGAAAGCCGGAUUAAUACCGCAUACGACCUGAGGGUGAAAGCGGGGGAUCUUCGGACCCCGGGCUUUUGGAGGGGCCGAUGGCAGAUUAGCUAGUUGGUGGGGUAAAGGCCUACCAAGGCGACGAUCUGUAGCUGGUCUGAGAGGACGACCAGCCACACUGGGACUGAGACACGGCCCAGACUCCUACGGGAGGCAGCAGUGGGGAAUUUUGGACAAUGGGCGAAAGCCUGAUCCAGCAAUGCCGCGUGUGUGAUGAAGGCCUUCGGGUUGUAAAGCACUUUUGGCGGGAACGAAAAGGACUGUGCCAAUACCACGGUUCGAUGACGGUACCCGCAGAAUAAGCACCGGCUAACUACGUG